ensembl:lncRNA AABR07065590.1
AUCAACUCUUCGUGGACUAGAACUGUGUUUCUGAGUAGUAGGCCAUUGAGGGGACUAAGGUAGAGCCACUUUGAGGAGUCACUUGGUCAGCUGCUCUUCCCCCUUUAUGACAUCUGUCUCUCAGUUUUUAAGGCUGCACAUGGUUAAUUCAGUCACCAACUCUUGCUGGAGGAGGAGCUAGAGAACAGGAACAUAUUUUUUCCUCUGGCACACUAGCCUAUACCUCGGUGUGCACCGAGAAGACAAGGUGUCAAAGAUGCUGGAAGGGAGUGAACAUUAUCUGGAUAGUAAAGAAGCACAGUGGCUUCCAGAGGGAUUGGUGGAGCCAUGCUGAUGCUGGGACACAGAAUGAUGCUGACCAUGAUCUCGCUGAGAGCCCUGACAAUGACGAUGGGGAAGCUGUACUGGGUGUGUGCACUCUACCCUGCCAAGUUCCUCUACUUUGCUCACUGUCCAAGCCUGAAGGAAAGAGCCUUAGUCAAACAUGGAUACUUUGUAUCAUAAACUCUCCAAGUAAGCAUUUGUGGUUAUUGUCUGACAUCUGGGAAUUGGUCCUGCUUUGUGUUGCUUGCC